CCUGGAGAAAGUCAAGUCUUUCAGUCUGACCUCCCUCACAGGGUGUUAUGAGGAUAAAAUGGAGAGAAGGGAGAACCAAUUAUUCUUGAGCUCAUUGGAGAAAAGGUGGUGCUUUGCACAGUCUGAGGAAGUAGCUUUCAUUCAUUUUCCCAUCUGUGGGGGACAGCACCACAAGUCUACUGCAAAAUUGUGGUUUUACCAUUGCUUUCCUCUGAGGCUGAGAGGCAGUGACUGGCCCAAGGUCACCCAGUGAGCUUCAUGGCUGUAUGGGCAGGGCUGUGGAGUCGGAGUCGUGGAGUCGGAAGCAAUUUUG